GGGACACGUGGUAUCCUGUCUGAAUAUGGGGGGACCAUCCUCCAAGGCUAAAUACUCCUGACUGACCGAUAGUGAACCAGUACCGUGAGGGAAAGGCGAAAAGAACCCCGGCGAGGGGAGUGAAAAAGAACCUGAAACCGUGUACGUACAAGCAGUGGGAGCCUCUUAAUGGGGUGACUGCGUACCUUUUGUAUAAUGGGUCAGCGACUUAUAUUCUGUAGCAAGGUUAACCGAAUAGGGGAGCCGAAGGGAAACCGAGUCUUAACUGGGCGUUAAGUUGCAGGGUAUAGACCCGAAACCCGGUGAUCUAGCCAUGGGCAGGUUGAAGGUUGGGUAACACUAACUGGAGGACCGAACCGACUAAUGUUGAAAAAUUAGCGGAUGACUUGUGGCUGGGGGUGAAAGGCCAAUCAAACCGGGAGAUAGCUGGUUCUCCCCGAAAGCUAUUUAGGUAGCGCCUCGUGAAUUCAUCUCCGGGGGUAGAGCACUGUUUCGGCAAGGGGGUCAUCCCGACUUACCAACCCGAUGCAAACUGCGAAUACCGGAGAAUGUUAUCACGGGAGACACACGGCGGGUGCUAACGUCCGUCGUGAAGAGGGAAACAACCCAGACCGCCAGCUAAGGUCCCAAAGUCAUGGUUAAGUGGGAAACGAUGUGGGAAGGCCCAGACAGCCAGGAUGUUGGCUUAGAAGCAGCCAUCAUUUAAAGAAAGCGUAAUAGCUCACUGGUCGAGUCGGCCUGCGCGGAAGAUGUAACGGGGCUAAACCAUGCACCGAAGCUGCGGCAGCGACACUAUGUGUUGUUGGGUAGGGGAGCGUUCUGUAAGCCUGUGAAGGUGUACUGUGAGGUAUGCUGGAGGUAUCAGAAGUGCGAAUGCUGACAUAAGUAACGAUAAAGCGGGUGAAAAGCCCGCUCGCCGGAAGACCAAGGGUUCCUGUCCAACGUUAAUCGGGGCAGGGUGAGUCGACCCCUAAGGCGAGGCCGAAAGGCGUAGUCGAUGGGAAACAGGUUAAUAUUCCUGUACUUGGUGUUACUGCGAAGGGGGGACGGAGAAGGCUAUGUUGGCCGGGCGACGGUUGUCCCGGUUUAAGCGUGUAGGCUGGUUUUCCAGGCAAAUCCGGAAAAUCAAGGCUGAGGCGUGAUGACGAGGCACUACGGUGCUGAAGCGACAAAUGCCCUGCUUCCAGGAAAAGCCUCUAAGCAUCAGGUAACAUCAAAUCGUACCCCAAACCGACACAGGUGGUCAGGUAGAGAAUACCAAGGCGCUUGAGAGAACUCGGGUGAAGGAACUAGGCAAAAUGGUGCCGUAACUUCGGGAGAAGGCACGCUGAUAUGUAGGUGAAGCGACUUGCUCGUGGAGCUGAAAUCAGUCGAAGAUACCAGCUGGCUGCAACUGUUUAUUAAAAACACAGCACUGUGCAAACACGAAAGUGGACGUAUACGGUGUGACGCCUGCCCGGUGCCGGAAGGUUAAUUGAUGGGGUUAGCGGUAACGCGAAGCUCUUGAUCGAAGCCCCGGUAAACGGCGGCCGUAACUAUAACGGUCCUAAGGUAGCGAAAUUCCUUGUCGGGUAAGUUCCGACCUGCACGAAUGGCGUAAUGAUGGCCAGGCUGUCUCCACCCGAGACUCAGUGAAAUUGAACUCGCUGUGAAGAUGCAGUGUACCCGCGGCAAGACGGAAAGACCCCGUGAACCUUUACUAUAGCUUGACACUGAACAUUGAGCCUUGAUGUGUAGGAUAGGUGGGAGGCUUUGAAGUGUGGACGCCAGUCUGCAUGGAGCCGACCUUGAAAUACCACCCUUUAAUGUUUGAUGUUCUAACGUGGGCCCCUUACCGGGGUUGCGGACAGUGUCUGGUGGGUAGUUUGACUGGGGCGGUCUCCUCCUAAAGAGUAACGGAGGAGCACGAAGGUUGGCUAAUCCUGGUCGGACAUCAGGAGGUUAGUGCAAUGGCAUAAGCCAGCUUGACUGCGAGCGUGACGGCGCGAGCAGGUGCGAAAGCAGGUCAUAGUGAUCCGGUGGUUCUGAAUGGAAGGGCCAUCGCUCAACGGAUAAAAGGUACUCCGGGGAUAACAGGCUGAUACCGCCCAAGAGUUCAUAUCGACGGCGGUGUUUGGCACCUCGAUGUCGGCUCAUCACAUCCUGGGGCUGAAGUAGGUCCCAAGGGUAUGGCUGUUCGCCAUUUAAAGUGGUACGCGAGCUGGGUUUAGAACGUCGUGAGACAGUUCGGUCCCUAUCUGCCGUGGGCGCUGGAGAACUGAGGGGGGCUGCUCCUAGUACGAGAGGACCGGAGUGGACGCAUCACUGGUGUUCGGGUUGUCAUGCCAAUGGCACUGCCCGGUAGCUAAAUGCGGAAGAGAUAAGUGCUGAAAGCAUCUAAGCACGAAACUUGCCCCGAGAUGAGUUCUCCCUGACUCCUUGAGAGUCCUGAAGGAACGUUGAAGACGACGACGUUGAUAGGCCGGGUGUGUAAGCGCAGCGAUGCGUUGAGCUAACCGGUAC
rnacentral:rRNA from 1 species